rnacentral:rRNA from 1 species
UACAGAGGGUGCAAGCGUUGCUCGGAAUUAUUAGGCGUAAAGGGGAGGUAGGUGGUCUCAUUUGUCGGGGGUGAAAUCCUUGGGCUUAACCCAAGAAGUGCCUUCGAAACGGUGAGACUAGAGUCCUGGAGAGGGUCGUGGAAUUCCCGGUGUAGCGGUGAAAUGCGUAGAGAUCGGGAGGAACACCAGAGGCGAAGGCGGCGACCUGGACAGGUACUGACACUCAACUACGAAAGCGUGGGGAGCAAACAGG